AGAGCAGAUGGCGGAUGCCUUGCCAAAGAGAGGCGAUGAAGGACGUACUAGACUGCGAUAAGCUAUGCGGAGCUGUCAAGGAGCUUUGAUGCGUAGAUGUCCGAAUGGGGCAACCCAACUAAUAGAGAUAUUAGUUACUCUUUAAUAGAGAGCGAACCUAGUGAAGUGAAACAUCUCAGUAACUAGAGGAAAAGAAAUCAACGAGAUUCCCUAAGUAGUGGCGAGCGAACGGGGAAAAGGGCAAACCGAGUGCUUGCAUUCGGGGUUGAGGACUGCAAUAUCCAAGAGAACGCUUUAGCAGAGUUACCUGGAAAGGUAAGCCAUAGAAAGUGAUAGCCUUGUAUGCGACAAGGCGUUUUUAGGUAGCAGUAUCCAGAGUAGGCCAGGACACGAGAAAUCCAGGUUGAAGCCGGGGAGACCACUCUCCAACCCUAAAUACUACUCUUUGAGCGAUAGCGAACAAGUACCGUGAGGGAAAGGUGAAAAGAACCGCAGUGAGCGGAGUGAAAUAGAACCUGAAACCAUCUGCUUACAAUCAUUCAGAGCCCUAUGAUUUAUCAGGGUGAUGGACUGCCUUUUGCAUAAUGAUCCUGCGAGUUGUGGUAUCUGGCAAGGUUAAGCGAAUGCGAAGCCGUAGCGAAAGCGAGUCUUAAUAGGGCGCUUGAGUCAGAUGCUGCAGACCCGAAGCUAAGUGAUCUAUCCAUGGCCAAGUUGAAACGCGUGUAAUAGCGCGUGGAGGACUGAACUCGUACCCAUUGAAACGGGUUGGGAUGAGCUGUGGAUAGGGGUGAAAGGCCAAACAAACUUAGUGAUAGCUGGUUCUCUUCGAAAUAUAUUUAGGUAUAGCCUCAAGUGAUAAUAAAAGGGGGUAGAGCACUGAUUGGGCUAGGGCUGCUCGCCGCGGUACCAAACCCUAUCAAACUUCGAAUACCUUUUAUCGUAUCUUGGGAGUCAGGCGGUGGGUGAUAAAAUCAAUCGUCAAAAGGGGAACAACCCAGACUACCAAAUAAGGUCCCUAAGUUCUAUUCUGAGUGGAAAAAGAUGUGUGGCUACUCAAACAACCAGGAGGUUGGCUUAGAAGCAGCCAUCCUUUAAAGAAAGCGUAACAGCUCACUGGUCUAGUGGUCAUGCGCUGAAAAUAUAACGGGGCUAAGAUAGACACCGAAUUUGUAGAUUGUGUUUGACACAGUGGUAGAAGAGCGUUCAUACCAGCGUUGAAGGUAUACCGGUAAGGAGUGCUGGAGCGGUAUGAAGUGAGCAUGCAGGAAUGAGUAACGAUAAGAUAUAUGAGAAUUGUAUCCGCCGUAAAUCUAAGGUUUCCUACGCGAUGGUCGUCAUCGUAGGGUUAGUCGGGUCCUAAGCCGAGUCCGAAAGGGGUAGGUGAUGGCAAAUUGGUUAAUAUUCCAAUACCGACUGUGGAGCGUGAUGGGGGGACGCAUAGGGUUAAGCGAGCUAGCUGAUGGAAGCGCUAGUCUAAGGGCGUAGAUUGGAGGGAAGGCAAAUCCACCUCUGUAUUUGAAACCCAAACAGGCUCUUUGAGUCCUUUUAGGACAAAGGGAGAAUCGCUGAUACCGUCGUGCCAAGAAAAGCCUCUAAGCAUAUCCAUAGUCGUCCGUACCGCAAACCGACACAGGUAGAUGAGAUGAGUAUUCUAAGGCGCGUGAAAGAACUCUGGUUAAGGAACUCUGCAAACUAGCACCGUAAGUUCGCGAUAAGGUGUGCCACAGCGAUGUGGUCUCAGCAAAGAGUCCCUCCCGACUGUUUACCAAAAACACAGCACUUUGCCAACUCGUAAGAGGAAGUAUAAGGUGUGACGCCUGCCCGGUGCUCGAAGGUUAAGAGGAUGCGUCAGUCGCAAGAUGAAGCGUUGAAUUGAAGCCCGAGUAAACGGCGGCCGUAACUAUAACGGUCCUAAGGUAGCGAAAUUCCUUGUCGGUUAAAUACCGACCUGCAUGAAUGGCGUAACGAGAUGGGAGCUGUCUCAACCAGAGAUUCAGUGAAAUUGUAGUGGAGGUGAAAAUUCCUCCUACCCGCGGCAAGACGGAAAGACCCCGUGGACCUUUACUACAGCUUAGCACUGCUAAUGGGAAUAUCAUGCGCAGGAUAGGUGGGAGGCUUUGAAGUAAGGGCUUUGGCUCUUAUGGAGCCAUCCUUGAGAUACCACCCUUGAUGUUUCUGUUAGCUAACUGGCCUGUGUUAUCCACAGGCAGGACAAUGCUUGGUGGGUAGUUUGACUGGGGCGGUCGCCUCCUAAAAAGUAACGGAGGCUUGCAAAGGUUGGCUCAUUGCGGUUGGAAAUCGCAAGUUGAGUGUAAUGGCACAAGCCAGCCUGACUGUAAGACAUACAAGUCAAGCAGAGACGAAAGUCGGUCAUAGUGAUCCGGUGGUUCUGUGUGGAAGGGCCAUCGCUCAAAGGAUAAAAGGUACCCCGGGGAUAACAGGCUGAUCUCCCCCAAGAGCUCACAUCGACGGGGAGGUUUGGCACCUCGAUGUCGGCUCAUCGCAUCCUGGGGCUGGAGCAGGUCCCAAGGGUAUGGCUGUUCGCCAUUUAAAGCGGUACGCGAGCUGGGUUCAGAACGUCGUGAGACAGUUCGGUCCCUAUCUGCCGUGGGCGUAGGAAAGUUGAGGAGAGCUGUCCCUAGUACGAGAGGACCGGGAUGGACGUGUCACUGGUGCACCAGUUGUUCUGCCAAGAGCAUCGCUGGGUAGCUACACACGGAUGUGAUAACUGCUGAAAGCAUCUAAGCAGGAAGCCAACUCCAAGAUGAACUUUCCCUGAAGCUCGCACAAAGACUAUGUGCUUGAUAGGGUAGGUGUGUAAGCGCAGUAAUGCGUUUAGCUGACUACUACUAAUAGAGCGUUUGGCUUGUUUUU
rnacentral:rRNA from 1 species